GCGGGCAUAGUAUAGCCUGGUUAGAACGGUGGCUUGCCAAGCCAUCGACGCGGGUUCAAAUCCCGCUGCCCGCA
rnacentral:tRNA from 1 species